UACGUAGGGUGCAAGCGUUGUCCGGAAUUAUUGGGCGUAAAGAGCUCGUAGGCGGUUUGUCGCGUCUGCUGUGAAAACGCGAGGCUCAACCUCGCGCCUGCAGUGGGUACGGGCAGACUAGAGUGCGGUAGGGGAGAUUGGAAUUCCUGGUGUAGCGGUGGAAUGCGCAGAUAUCAGGAGGAACACCGGUGGCGAAGGCGGCAUCCUGGACCAAUACUGACACUGAGGAGCGAAAGCCAGGGGAGCAAACGGG
rnacentral:rRNA from 1 species